rnacentral:sRNA from 1 species
CUGCCAGGCUGUCCGCGCCGCCGCUGCGGGGCCAUGAUCCGGAACGGGCGCGGGGCUGCAGGCGGCGCAGAGCAGCCGGGCCUGGGGGGCAGGCGCGCCGUGAGGGUGUGGUGCGAUGGCUGCUAUGACAUGGUACAUUACGGCCACUCCAACCAGCUGCGCCAGGCACGGGCCAUGGGCGACUACCUCAUCGUAGGCGUGCACACUGAUGAGGAGAUCGCCAAGCACAAGGGGCCCCCGGUGUUCACUCAGGAGGAGAGAUACAAGAUGGUGCAGGCCAUCAAAUGGGUGGACGAGGUGGUGCCAGCGGCUCCCUACGUCACUACGCUAGAGACCCUGGACAAAUACAACUGUGACUUCUGUGUUCAUGGCAAUGACAUCACCCUGACUGUAGAUGGCCGGGACACCUAUGAGGAAGUGAAGCAGGCUGGGAGGUACAGAGAAUGCAAGCGCACGCAAGGGGUGUCCACCACAGACCUCGUGGGCCGCAUGCUGCUGGUAACCAAAGCCCAUCACAGCAGCCAGGUGAGUCGGCAGUGGAAUCCCCGAGGCCCCUGGGUCGAGGUCGCCAGGGGAAAGGAGGGGCACCUCCCUGCCCCCUCAGGGUCCUCCUGCCCACUGCUCCCCAUCCCCAGCCAUUCCUGGGGUGGCCACGCCUGGAGGGCAGGCCCCUCAGCCCUGCUCUGCCCUUCCGUGCAGGAGAUGUCCUCUGAGUACCGGGAGUAUGCAGACAGUUUUGGCAAGUGCCCUGGUGGGCGGAACCCGUGGACCGGGGUAUCCCAGUUCCUGCAGACAUCUCAGAAGAUCAUCCAGUUUGCUUCUGGGAAGGAGCCCCAGCCAGGGGAGACAGUCAUCUAUGUGGCUGGUGCCUUCGACCUGUUCCACAUCGGGCACGUGGACUUCCUGGAGAAGGUGCAUAGGCUGGCGGAGAGGCCCUACAUCAUCGCGGGCUUACACUUUGACCAGGAGGUCAAUCACUACAAGGGGAAGAACUACCCC